UAGUACUUCACACAAAUCAGAAAUUUUAGCAUGGAUGUUGUGUGUUAGGUAUCUAGAAGAAACAUAAAAUCCCACUUUGAAAAAAACACAUCUGAAAAGCUGCUCCAUGCAAAGCUUGUAAAAGUGUCCUUAUGCUGCAAGUUGUGGUCUUUCUGUGUGUGAAUGAUGGGACAUUGAAGAAGAACAUGAUUGUGGGUAAAUAAGCUCAAAACAUCAUGGAAGCUGUGACCAGUGACUUUAUGCUCACCAGUUCCAGGAUGGGUAGAGACAUCCACCUGUACAGAUAUCUCACCCACUGAAUUAUUAGCAGUUUGACCUGAAACAAGAAUUACUGGUUAGCACACCUGACUUCUCGGUGCAUCAAGAGAAAUAGACAGCCAAAGGUGCAUCUUCCCUUUUUAGCUUUCAGUUAUCUGGCGUAAGAAUGAAGAAAUCUGAAUCAGACCAGCUGAAGCAAAGCCUUUUCUGCAGCCUUGUAAAAACCCAGGAGUAACUUAAGAUAAGCCUCACCAUUACUGGUCUCAGCACAGACUAAAAAAGCCUUGGAGCUUUCCCUGAAAUUCUGGGCUGGCUGCUGCCUGUCUUCCAGCUGUGAACCAGCCAUGGGGGCUCCAGCCCUGCAGCACUGAACCCCCAAGUUCCUGCAGCUGAGCUGGGUUUUACAGAGACUCCAUCAGUGACCUGCUCCUGGAAUGGUUCUUGGCAGUGCCAGCUCUUGUGCACAAUUAAAAAAGAAAACUGAUCCAGAUGAAUGUGCUUACAACACUGCAAAAUCAGCUGAAUCCUUUCUGGGUAAUAUUAGAUGUGACGUUCAGAUAGGUGGAAGUAAAUUUCAUUACUAGUUUAUAAAUCGUUCUAUGUAUUAUUAUUAAAAGUUUUCCCAUCAAAAAUACUGAUAAUUUAUUUGCAAAAGAAAAUGCUGCUCUGCAUCUUUUACAUUUGUGGGUUUGGAAUAAAACAGGAUAAGUGCUUAGCAGGUUCUGCUUAUUUUCUGGAAAUGUUUAUACACAGGGACAGUCAUUGAUUAUAUCCCCCUUACUCUAGU